CAGACUCCUACGGGAGGCAGCAGUAGGGAAUCUUCCGCAAUGGACGAAAGUCUGACGGAGCAACGCCGCGUGAGUGAUGAAGGCUUUCGGGUCGUAAAACUCUGUUGUUAGGGAAGAACAAGUGCUAGUUGAAUAAGYUGGCACCUUGACGGUACCUAACCAGAAAGCCACGGCUAACUACGUGCCAGCAGCCGCGGUAAUACGUAGGUGGCAAGCGUUAUCCGGAAUUAUUGGGCGUAAAGCGCGCGCAGGUGGUUUCUUAAGUCUGAUGUGAAAGCCCACGGCUCAACCGUGGAGGGUCAUUGGAAACUGGGAGACUUGAGUGCAGAAGAGGAAAGUGGAAUUCCAUGUGUAGCGGUGAAAUGCGUAGAGAUAUGGAGGAACACCAGUGGCGAAGGCGACUUUCUGGUCUGUAACUGACACUGAGGCGCGAAAGCGUGGGGAGCAAACAGGAUUAGAUACCCUGGUAGUCCACGCCGUAAACGAUGAGUGCUAAGUGUUAGAGGGUUUCCGCCCUUUAGUGCUGAAGUUAACGCAUUAAGCACUCCGCCUGGGGAGUACGGCCGCAAGGCUGAAACUCAAAGGAAUUGACGGGGCCCGCACAAGCGG
rnacentral:rRNA from 1 species